GUUAAAGAACACUCCAGGACCCUCAGCUCUAUGAGGACACUGAAGCUAAGAGAAGUUGAGUGACUGGCGUGAUGUCAUGUGUCUUCCCAAUCUUCCUCAUCCUCAAAUCAAUGUUGAAGAAGCAACUAGUAAAUUCAGAAGAUCUGAAGCCUUGUAGCUUCUAUCAAGAGUCUCCUCCAUUGAAUAGAGUCUUGAGAGGCUAAUGAACCAACGGAUUCCUACAACACCAUUUGAGCCUGUGAUUAUCUCCAAAUGGGAAGUGGAACUUACAGUCUAAUAAGAAGAUGGACCAUCAAAGCGACAAUUCAGAAACAGUGCGAGAAAUAAGGGAUUCUCUGAAGGACUCAAGAGGCCAUUCACAUUCUAUGACUCCUGAAUGGCCAAGUAGUAAUGGGAUAAGAGAGGAAACAUUUGACAUCUUUAUGACUCUAAGAAGUUGGCUGCAGAUUCCUUCAGGAAGAACUAUGUCAGAUUCCAACUAUACCUGCCUUUUGUGACAACCAUA